rnacentral:tRNA from 1 species
GGAGGGUUCGCAUAGUGGUCUAGUGCGCUCGCUUGGAAAGCGAGUAAGGGUUAAACCCCUUCAUGAGUUCGAAUCUCAUACCCUCCG